rnacentral:rRNA from 1 species
GACGAACGCUGGCGGCGUGCUUAACACAUGCAAGUCGAACGGAAAGGCCCUGCUUUUGUGGGGUGCUCGAGUGGCGAACGGGUGAGUAACACGUGAGUAACCUGCCCUUGACUUUGGGAUAACUUCAGGAAACUGGGGCUAAUACCGGAUAGGAGCUCCUGCUGCAUGGUGGGGGUUGGAAAGUUUCGGCGGUUGGGGAUGGACUCGCGGCUUAUCAGCUUGUUGGUGGGGUAGUGGCUUACCAAGGCUUUGACGGGUAGCCGGCCUGAGAGGGUGACCGGCAAAAUGGGGACUGAGAUACGGCCAGACUCCUACGGGAGGCAGCAGUGGGGAAUAUUGCACAAUGGGCGGAAGCCUGAUGCAGCAACGCCGCGUGCGGGAUGACGGCCUUCGGGUUGUAAACCGCUUUCGCCUGUGACGAAGCGUGAGUGACGGUAAUGGGUAAAGAAGCACCGGCUAACUACGUG